ACAACCAAUAAUAAAAUGAUAUAAAUAUACCUUGGUUUAAAUCUCAGCAGAGCAAAGGCUGGGCAUUUUCUAUGGGUCAUUCUUUUUUUCUGGACAUGUCCACAUGUCUAAGUUUAUAGACGAACUGAAGGAGGGAGAUCCAGCAUGUAUAGGGCUAAUUCCUGUGUUAAGUGAAAGGAAUUCUCCAGUAGGUACGAAUGUGAUUUUUGUCUAUGGGGAAUUUUGCUGCUAGAUGCAAUUGAAUUUGUUACUUUGCACAGUACUUGAAGCCCAAGGGAAAUUUUGCUUGUUUAAUAAAUCAGAGGAACAGGAUUUUUUAUAAAUCCCAAGUGACCUGAUAAACACACAGUAUGAAACAUAUCUAAUUCUUAUGCUUAAUUCAAUUCAGUAAGCCUUUGUGGAACACUUACUAUACCUGAGGCAUAUUGCAAGAAGGCUAAGAGUUUAGUCUACUCCUACCUGGGAAUUGCUGUCUAAAAUACACGUCUUGAGGAAACAAGGGCUAGGCAGUGUUUUCCUGCCUAAAACAUACACUUUACAAAUGGAGAACCUGAAGCACUGAGUGGAGAAAUGUCAUGGAGGAGCCCAGGCUGGAUCAGAAUGGCAGACGCCCGAGAGGUGGGAUGGCUCUUCCUGCUUUGACCACUACAUCUCUUUUUAUUCACAGCCAACCUUCUUAUCCUGGCCUUUCUCUCAGCCUCCACCAUACCUCCCCCAGGUGGAGAAAGGAGAUGUGGAACAUGGGCACUUCCUUAGAGGCGUUUCCCGGAGUAGGGCCUUCGGACCUCCACAACUCCAUCUUGUGCAGGGGCCUAGAAGGAGCUUCUGGCAGAAGGACGUCAAAUUAAGUCACUGGCAGUAUCCCCUACUGAGACUCCGGGUUUUGGCAGAUGGAAUAUGUUGUGAAAGAAUGUGCUUUGUUGUGACACUUAAGCGGUAAGUCAACUCAUAAUAUGGAUCUGAUGAUAAAAGGGGAGGGCGUAGGGGAAUAAUAAUUAAAAUAUAGAGAUUGCUAUUUCCAGCUUUUUUCAUUGGAUGUAUGAGAAGUGAGGAAAAUGAGAAUGGAAUGAAGAAACUGUAGAGGAAAUAGAACUGGGGGCUUGGUCCUUCAUGAAAACCCCAGAUAUCCAGGUUUGUACUUUAGGUAUGGUUUGCAAUAGAGAAUAGCUUGCAACUUCUCCAGACUUUAUCACAAUAAAUUCAAAAGAGCAAGCA
rnacentral:lncRNA from 1 species